UGGAGAUGCACUGUGCAUGACGAUCCCGGCAGUCCUGUGGGGCUAAGUCAUCCGUGUGGUGGCCAGCUUGAUAAUUCAUCUCUGUGUCGGCUGACUCUCCCUUCUGGCUCUGCUUUCUUCUUGCCCCUCACUCCUGCUCCUUGGAUCUCACUCCCCCGAAAGGACAUGUCCUUGAGAGGUAGAAGGCUUGUGCUUGGAUGAUAAGACGACAGUGGAAGCUGACUGCUUCACCUGCGUCUUCUUGGCUCGUCAUAACAGCAUGGUCCCAGCCCUGCAUCAUCCUCAUCUCACCCCGUCUCCGUGCCAGUGAGAUCCUGGAGCCUGUUGGGAAAUUGUGGAGGUUUUUGCCAAUGUCAUUGGCCAUAUUUUGGCCAAGGAGACCAGGGGCUUCGGUCUGCCAUGUGUUUUCAGCGUGCUGGCUGCCUGCGAACACAUCUGUCAACCUUAACAUCAGAGAACAAAAGCUUGGAUUUGACAUGAAAAGGACAGCACAAGAGCAGCCCUGACCGGACCGCCAUGUGGCAUUCCUAAGCGUGCAGAGAUUCAGCCUGGAAGAUAUGCACAGUACUUGAAAGAAGUCUUUUAUCCAGAUUUCAGAGGUGGAGCCGUCCCUCCUGAAGCCGAGGUCCAGGUGUGGCCGCAGGAAUGCAUGGAGAGUUGUGAACUGAUUGAGAAGUGAAAUGAAAGACUUGGCAGCUGGAGACGCAAAUACGGUACCAUCUUUGUUACUGAUAGAGUGGAGAAUGUGGCUUAUAUCUGUGGACUGGUGGAUUUCUUGAUCCUGAGCUCCCAGCCUAAAAAGACUUACCUCCCCCAGGUGAGAAGACAGACUGAGAGAGGUUGUGUGACUUGUCCAAGGACACACAGCUAGGAAGCAGGAGAACUAUAGCGCAAGCCCAGCUUCACUUGGAUCCAGAGCCUGAAACAUGAAGCAGGCUCCCCUCUAUUGUUGAAUGAAUAAAUGAACGAGGUGAAACUGGAGGACAACAGGUUGAGGGGUUUGGCCGGCUUGGGACAAUCUGUGUGCAGUGUUGUAAAUUCAGUUGCCUUUCUCCUGCCUCAGGGGCUGGUCCUGGGCACUUUUCACCUGGACGUUCUGCCCCUGCCAGGCCAGGCGAAGAAGUGCCCCAGACGUGGGCUCUGGAGCUGGUCCUGCUGUCCCAGGGGCCCCCUGUCAGGGUGUGCUGGGGAAAGAGUCACAGGCAUCGGCUUGUCCACUUGGCUACCACCAUCCCCUUUGCUUGGGUUUUGAUUUCAUUCUAGAUCGCCAGUGGAUCUGCUCUGGUUGGCUUUCCAGAUGGCCGGGUGGCCUGAACACCACCUGCCAGAGGAGCUCUUGGACAAAGCCCCUUCCCCAAAGAGAACGGCAUAAACCCAUCUCUGUCUGAGCUGGCAAACUGACUCACGGAUUAGGGAAAAGCGUGGCAGACUGAGGCUGCCACUCAACUUCCCCUCUCCUGGCGGGAAUUUCCCGGUCUCCGUGCAUCUGGUCACCACAUUUCCAGACAUCCCUCUCACCGCUGGGCAUUAAACAAAAAACAGAGCCCCUGAGACCUCAUUUUCCCCGGCUUGUUCUUCACACCUCACGAGUGAUUUUUAAUCCUUGGGGCAGCCACAGUUAUCUUUAUUCCUGCUUCCUCCCUCCCGGAGAGGACCCCUUCCCUUCUCUGGGUAUCUGUAUCCUCCUCAUUGACUUUGCCACCUCCCGCUCUUUCCUCAUUCGCUGUCACGCCUGCCCUUGCGUGGACUGCUGUUAUCUUAAUCUCUUUCUUUGGAAACUCCUGUCACUUCUAAUUCUCUCAUUUUUCUCCAUCUACCUCAGCCUUUUUUCCCAGGCCCCUUCGCCUUCUCAGCUUUCUUUUCAAAGACCUUGUAUUUCUUUUUCUCCUUAUAUGGUCCAAUGUGACCUGACAGGGUGGCUGAAGCAGCAGAUUGGGGAUAGAAAUAUGCACUAGUUCUCCACAGAUUUUUUUUUUUUGAAUGGAGCAUUUGCAAUCAAUUUAUGUAGUUUAGCUGAAAGGUUAAGAAUUUUCCACUUAAAAAUCAACCUCUCCAAAUUAAAAUUUUUUGGUGCUUUUUUUUCAUUGUAGUCAGGUCUACACAUGCCCUCAUGCAAGAGACUGUUCUGGAAAGGGCUUCCUGAGGAAGGUCUGUGGAGUGUGCACCACUUUUACUCAAGCCUUUUGAACAUUGAUUUCUCGGAGGCUGGAGAAUAUGUUGUUCUUUUGUCUUCCUUAGGAUUCUCUCUCAGAGAAGUGAUUUCAAAAUGAGGUGCUUCUGUUAGUGACACAUGUGGGGAUGGGAAGAAAUGGUGUCAGGGUCCAUUUGUACUUGAGUCCCUUCAGGACAGGUCUCUAUGGAAAUAAAUGUUCACAAAACAAAAUAGGGCAAAGCAACUCUCAAUUGCUGGCUGAGACCCUGACUCCAAACCCUGUUGCAAACCUCAGCAGAUCCAGGCUCUACCCCACGGAGGUUUCCUUUUCUUAGGCUAAGUGGUCCCUGAGGAGUUGGGAGUGGGUGCCGUCCACACCUCCACUCAGAUCCCUGUUUCCAGCUGGUGCACCCACGGUCCAGCAGCUCUGGGUGUUGCCUCAUGUCUGCCCCCGUCUCUAGAGAUUUUCCUUCGCCCAGGAGUCUCUUCACGUGGGAGGAGGCGGGCUCCCCCAACUCCCCAGCAGCCUGUAUCCAGUGACCAAUCAGCAGGGGAUACAGAAGGUCAAUCCACGUUUCAAAGUGGGAUCCACUCUGUGGGACAAUUCAUGCUCCAGAAUGCCCUGUGGGGUCGGGCUUCAGCCAGACCCCAGCUCAGACCACAUCUUGGCUUAGUUCCUCCCCUCCCUAUCCUGCUUUCUUCACUUCCUCAAUAGAUCCUGUGUACCCCAAUCCUUGUCUCAGGCUCUGCUUUCAGAGAACCAGAUAUAAAACAGACUACCAUGCCAAACUGGCAAAAGGAUCUACCCCAUCCAUGCCCAGACCUGAAUCUGGGAACUUACUGUCCCAGGGCGAAGGAUGAUCACACACAUUGAGAGAAGCUGGAGAGGCCCUAGUGUAGAUGCUUACCCCAUUGCGGGAGUGGAACUGGUCCAGACUGGUCUAGUCUUUUUGGAGCUGUAAGGGUGGAGGGAGUCACAGGCCUGUAUCAUCAGCCACUGGGGAUCAAGAGAGAAAGUGUACCAAAGUGGCAUGGAGAAUAUCAAAGAGAAAGAAAGAUGACCUUCCCCAAAGAGGGUUGGUUCCAGAAAGGUUCUAGGAAGAACCAACUGAGAGAUGGAGGGGAGUGUGUUUUAGGUCCCUGCAACUGUGGAUGCAGAAGAGACCCUACUGUUUGUUCCUGACCUUUUCAGCUCUGUUUCAUCUACCAGAGUGUUCCUCCCCUUUGGGGGUGCAGUUGGGGCGGGUGAGAAGGGACUGAGCAGUAGCUGUGUUGGAGAUGGGUAGAGAAAAGGUGAAGAGAAGCAAUCUUUUCCCCUUGGCCUGACUUCACUUAGCUCUCUCUCUACUUUGUCUUAUUUCUUGGACUUCAAAUCUUUCAUACCCUUCCUUGCUGUGAAGUCUUAGCUCAGCUUUUUGCUCCUGUCAGCUUCUCUCCCAUUUUCCCGUCUGGCCAAAUUCUUGGCAUUCAUUCAACAAAUAUUUACUAAGUGCCUACCAGGCAUCAGGCACUUUUCUAGAUGUUGGGGAGUCACUAGAAACAGCUGCCUCAGUUGUUGCCAAUGGGAAAGACACCCCAAAAACAUGCAAACAGCUAAGUAGGAUAAAUUCAGCAAGAGGGAAGUGUUGUGAGGGAAACGAAAGAAGAGCAUCCUGUACUCAUCACCCUGCUGUCUGCUUGCAUUUGCUGUGAGUCUCGUCUGCCCGGUGAAGCUGCAGGUGAUUUGAGGGCAAAGAUCUCAGCCGACACUGCUUCCUCCAAGAAGCCCCAUCCAGUGUCUCACUCAUCACAAAGAUGUCAACGCCAACUUGUUGGUUUCUCCACAGCAAUUACCCCCAGGCUGUCCAAGUCUGGACCAGCCUUAGGUUUCGAUCCUUUUGCCUUGGGUUUCUCCCGCUGCACGAUUUGUGUGCAGGGGAGUGGAUGUGGCCUCUGAUGGCCUGCAGCGGAGCCUUAUGCUUCUUGCUGGUGUGCGAUAGACAGUGAGUCUCAAUGUUCGUAGCCCCAUUUCCCUUCUGUGUAAGACAGGGGAGGCGAGGAUGCCCAUUUCACAGGGUUAGGAGGGAUGGAAUGAGACCAUCUGCAUCAAGUUCUCCCUCAAGGGAGGAUGUUGGGUGAUGGGUCAAGUCCUCAUUUAGCACCAAACUUGUGACCAGCCUCAGGAGGAUCUGAAAAGAAUGCGGGGCCCAAGGCUCUCGCGGUUUGGUUGCCUCCAAGGCAGCCUUGGCCAUCAGUUUUGGGGUUAAUUGAGGUCCUGAGCGCGGGCCUCUAGGAGGAGGCAGAGGGAAAUGCAGGAGGAAGGCUCUCUCCCAGCCUUCCCGCUGCCCCAGACCCAGAGUCCAUCUUUUCCCUCCUCACACUGAUACCCUCCUGAUGUUCCUAUUUCUCUCCUUGCUUCGGCUUAAAAUCCCAGAUUCACCUGGAUUUUCCCUUGUCUCUCACCCUGUUCCUCCUCCCGGAUCCCAAGUCUCUCGUGUUCUGUGUUUCAUGUUUUCCGCCUCCCAUCAUUUCAUUCUCUUCGCCCUUGCCUUGCUCCCAGUCCCAGAUCCUCCUUUUGCAUUUCUCCGUGGCUGGUGUCACUUCCUCCUGGGUAUCUCUGACCCCUGUGUCUCCUCAUUACAGUCCAUCUGUCACACUUGGCAAUCCUGCUUCCUAAAAGGUAAAUAGUCCAUACCCCGCACACUGGCGUUUGAAGCUGCCUGCCACGUGACCCACUCUACCUUCCCACCUUCCAUCCUCGUCACCGUGGCCAAACUCGCCUACUCCCUGCUCCCUGGACGUGUCCCGUAUUGCCCUGCCCCUGAGCUUUCCCUCCUGCUGUUCCUGGUGUUAAGGAGGCCACAGUUGCCCUUCCUUCUAGGCGUGGUUCAGAUAUAGCCCCUGAUGCCAUGACUGGUCAGGAACUCGCUCUCACCUCUGCGUAUUCAUGCUCCUCAUCUCAUACCUUUCCUCUGACGUUUCUGUCUUUCAGCUGCUCUAGGAAUUGGGCCCUUUGGUGACGCCACUGAGGAAGUUUUAUUUUCUCAGAUUCCGAUGUGAGCAUUCCUCUUGGGUGAAACCCAUGUUUGUCGAGAACAUGCCUCGGUACGUUCUUUUCAGGGGCAGACGCUGAGCCCAGGAGGGCUGAGGUGGGUGGGACACGACAUAACACAAACAGACGGCUGUGGUUGUACCAGGGGGAAUGUGGAGAGGCAACCAGAACCGGGUGGAAAACUGUGUGCCCCACAAUGUUUCCUCUUCCUGGGAUUCUCCGAAGCUUCAGUAAAGGUGAAAUUCUAGAGGCGAGAGGCAUUCCUGUGGCAGCUCAUGGACCCAUGGAGCCCUAGGAGUGAGUGAGCCAAAGAAGCAGGAAGAACUCACUGUCGGCAGCCUGCGAGGACUGAGGACAGGGUCUGGUCCCCAUGAGAGACAAGGAGUGUGGCUUCUGGCUAGUUUAAGGCGAUUUUUGUGAGGUAACUUGGAGGGGCUUAGAUGGCAUCUGGGAUGAGUUUCUCAUCCUGUCUGAGAGAUACUUGGGGGACGAGCCCUAAAAUCCUUCUUUUUGUUGUCUCUAGUUCAAUGCUGGUACAACAAUUGUUCAUUUAAAUUGAAAUACUCAGAUGUGGGUGGUGAUUUCUUUGCAAGGGAGUGGGUGCUACUGGUCAUUUGGUUUCUCUGAGUUGGGAUGACAUAGUGCAUUUUUACACUUGAUCCUCAAGUGGACCAUGAGAGUUAGACUUCGAGAAGCUUGUAGACAGAUAAAGAAACUGGAGCUCAGAGAGGGUGAGUGAUAUCCUGCAGAUCACACAGCUAGAAAGUGGCAGAACUAGGCCUUGAACCCAGAGCUUCUGGCUCAAGUCCAGUGAUCAGUCCGUCUCUGCACCAGGCACCUCUGCGCACUCUCGUAACUCAAGUUGGACUGAACUGGGAGAAUCUGCGAAGCUGGGUUGCAGAGCUUUCUAUAUAAUUCUUGAAGGAGGAUUGUAUAUUUUGAGAGUCUGAGCUGAUGCCAGGACCCUCUCCUCUUUCUGAAAUUACCUUUAUGAAAUGUUUUGGUUAUAUACAG
ensembl:lncRNA